UAGGGAAUCUUCGGCAAUGGACGAAAGUCUGACCGAACAACGCCGCGUGAGUGAAGAAGGUUUUCGGAUCGUAAAACUCUGUUGUUAGAGAAGAACAAGGGUGAGAGUAACUGUUCACCCCUUGACGGUAUCUAACCAGAAAGCCACGGCUAACUACGUGCCAG
rnacentral:rRNA from 1 species